AAGUCGUAACAAGGUUUCCGUAGGUGAACCUGCGGAAGGAUCAUUAUUGAAUGGACUUGGUAUGAUUGUUGCUGGCCCAUCUGGGCAUGUGCACGUCUGCCAUCUUUAUCUCUCCACCUGUGCACAUAUUGUAGGUCUGGAAUAAAUUUCUGAGGCAACUCAGUAGUGGGGAAUGCUGCUGCGAAGUGGCUUUGCCUGUAAUUUCAGAUCUAUGUUUUCAUAUACACCAUAAAAAUGUAACAGAAUGUAUUAAUGGGUCUUGUACCUAUAAACUAUAUACAACUUUCAGCAACGGAUCUCUUGGCUCUC
rnacentral:misc_RNA from 1 species